rnacentral:lncRNA from 1 species
UUGAGUUUGAUAUUGAAUAUAUGUUGGAAUGGAAUGCCAUUAAAUCCUCUAUAUAUCCAGUAGUUCGUCGUGAUGGAAAUGUCCUAUAUUACAAAGAUAGUAGAGAAAAAAUGAAAAAGUUAACAGCAAAAGAAAGAUCAGAAAUACAAGAGGUAGAGGAAGCAAGGUUAAAGAGAAUUACAAAGCACAAAUUAGAGCUGCAUGAGCAGUUCCAAUUGAAGAGUUCAAUGUUUUAGUGCAAUGUUUCACUACCAUGUGAUAUUAUUUUUAAAAUCAUUUUACACUUAUAUAGUCUAUACUAUACUUCAACCCUGUGUACUAUCUAUCUGUACAAGUUAGUCCUACUGGCUUCAAACAAUAAAAAGUAUCAUUAUUUAAAGUAAAACAUUCUUAAGAUUCAGAUUCUUGAUACUUACAGCAUCUACAUUUAUGAUUAUUUUAUCAACAAUUUAUCUACAAGAAUUUA